GAUCCUCCUGCCUUGGCCUCUCAAAGCACUAGGAUUUCAGCAUGGAGUGCCAUAUUUGUGGGCAUCAGGAGGGUCCAGAUGGCAACUUUACCAGACACUGGAGAUAAACUGAUUUGUUUAAAAGCAGGAGCUUGCAUCCAGGAAAAGUGGUAACAUUUUUAGAUAUAUUUCAUAAACCACAUCUACACACAGGCUGACACACAGUUAUCUGAAAAAAAAGUAAGAAGAGAGAUUACAUGGAUCAGUGAUAUCCACAGGAAAUCCCACAUUUUAUCUCAGGUCUGCUUCAGGCUGCAGGUUGGCCGAACUUAGCUACCUGUUGAAGUUUAGGUCUGCAUCAUAUUUCUCCACAUUUAUCUCGGACCAGCAGAUAUUUAGGCUAUUGGCAGAAGCAUACCCGGGCAAACCAAACCAUGGGAGUACUUUCUAACCCCCUGUUCACAUUAUGUUCAAUAACAUCCUACUGGCCUAAGUAAGAACGAUGGUCACUUAGCCAGGUGUCGUGGUGUGCGCCUGUAGUCCCAGCUACUCAGGAGGCUGAGGCAGGAGAAU